CUGGACUGAUUAACAGUGACUUUAGAUCAAUACUGUCAUAUCUAAGUGAAAGAGCAAACAUGACAAACAGGAAAUUUAGCAAUGUACAAACUUGAUAUGACUAUAUUCUGAGAAAUGGCCUUGGUAUUUCAAACAUUUCCCAUUUAUACUGAAGCCUUUGAGAAGAGACAUGUUUUGAUCUGAGAUGUGUCAUGUUGUAUUAAAAACCUAUGUAUAAUCAAUAAUUCCCUGUAUCAAAUCAAUAAUGCUUUAAGCAUGAAUUAUCUCCCAUUUGCAGAGUUAUCUUCCUAUAAUUGGAAUACUUUAUGUAAACUUUUUG
rnacentral:lncRNA from 1 species